UUUCGUUGUUCGUUUUGUUCUUAUUCGCUGACAUUUGUUUUCCAAUUGCGUGAAAUUUGGUCAUUUCCUUAGUGUUUCGCUGACCGACCUGUGCUGGUAUUGUGAUUAAGAGCUAAUACACAUUUUUCGGACGAUUCUGCUGUGCUGCGUUCCUGCUCCGCCUGUAUAUUGCUCCGCCCGUAUUUUAUAGUGUUGCGUUCCUGUUGCGCCUUUGCAUUAGUGUGUGCGUUGUGAUUUAGACACGUUGAAAUUUUUUGUAUGCUUCUGCUGUGCUGCGUUCCUGCUCCACCCGUGUAUUAGAUUGCUGCGUUCCUGUUAACAUACAUAUCGUCGCUUAAAGUACAAAACCGCGUAACUGACAUUUGCUGCUAAAAAUUGGAUUCGCUCACACACGUUUUUGGAUCAAUCCUUAUCCAUUCUUCCUGAAAUAUACUAGCCAAAAAAUGCGAUUGCUUUUUACAAAAAGAUAACCAUUUUGAAAUAUGAGUGUUUUUACUCUCUAGAAAUUAAUUUAUGCAACCUCGCAUACGUGGGUUUGCAUUAUCUCUAUACGCGGUUUUGCAAUUUAUUGAUACAUGGUUUUGUACUUUAAACGACGAUAUGUA